AUUGAACGCUAGCGGGAUGCCUUACACAUGCAAGUCGAACGGAGUGGCGAACGGGUGAGUAAUGUAUCGGAACGUGCCCAGUAGCGGGGGAUAACUACGCGAAAGCGUAGCUAAUACCGCAUCCUAUUGGAGCCGCCUCUAUCGGAUUAGCUAGUUGGUGGGGGAACGGCUCACCUAGGCGAAGAUCCCUAGCUGGUCUGUGAGGAUGACCAGCCACACUGGAACUGAGACACGGUCCAGACUCCUACGGGAGGCAGCAGUGGGGAAUAUUGCACAAGGGGCGCAAGCCUGAUGCAGCCAUGCCGCGUGUAUGAAGAAGGCCUUCGGGUUGUAAAGUACUUUCAGCGAGGAGGCGUUACUCGCAGAAGAAGCACCGGCUAACUCCGUGCCAGCCGCCGCGGUAAUAC
rnacentral:rRNA from 1 species